AGCGGAAUUGUGUAAUGGUAGCACAAACGACUCUGACUCGUUUAGUUAAGGUUCGAGCCCUUAUUCCGCUG
rfam:Christensenella minuta strain DSM 22607 genomic scaffold Scaffold234, whole genome shotgun sequence.